GACGAACGCUGGCGGCGUGCUUAACACAUGCAAGUCGAACGGAAAGGCCCUGCUUUUGUGGGUUGCUCGAGUGGCGAACGGGUGAGUAACACGUGAGUAUCCUGCCCUUGUCUUUGGGAUAACUUCAGGAAACUGGGGCUAAUACCGGAUAGGAGCUCCUGCUGCAUGGUGGGGGUUGGAAAGUUUCGGCGGUUUGGGAUGGACUCGCGGCUUAUCAGCUUGUUGGUGGGGUAGUGGCUUACCAAGGCUUUGACGGGUAGCCGGCCUGAGAGGGUUACCGGGCACAUUGGGACUGAGAGACGGCGCAGAAGCCAAAGGGAGGCAGCAGGGGGGAAUAUUACACAAUGGGGGGAAGCCUGAUGCAGAGACGCCGCGUGCGGGAUGACGGCUUUCGGGUUAUAAACAGAUUUCGCAUGUGACGAAGAGGGAGUGACGGUAAUGGGUAAAGAAGCAACGGCUAACUACGUG
rnacentral:rRNA from 1 species